GUUUAUCCUGCUGGAGGUUGCUGCUAUUUGGUUUGAACUUAGGCAUGCAAGUCUGACGCAAGUCGCGAACUGCUCAGUAACACGUAGUUAAUCUGCCCUUAGGUCAAGGAUACCCUCGGGAAACUGAGGCUAAUACUUGAUAGGGGUAAUGUGCUGGAAUGCACUUACCCUGAAACUCGAGCCUAAGGAUGAGACUGCGGCUGAUUAGCUUGUUGGUGGGGUAACUGCCUACCAAGGCGAUGAUCAGUAAGGGCCCUUAGCGGGGUAGCCCUGAGAAGGAAUCUGAGACACUAUUCCUAGCCCUACGGGGUGCAGCAGCUAUGAAUCUUUUACAAUGCACGAAAGUGUGAUAGAGCGAACCAAAGUGCUUGCAUUUUUUGUAAGCAUUUGUCUACUGUAAAUAUGUAGAUGAAUAAGGACUGGGAAAGACUGGUGCCAGCCGCCGCGGUAAUACCAGCAGUUCUAGUUGCAACCAACAUUAUUGGGUCUAAAACAUCCGUAGCUUGCCAAACAAGUUUCUUGUGAAAUCUGACAUCUCAAAUGUCAGGCGUGCAAGAAAUACUGUUUGGCUAGAGACCGGUAGGUGUAAGAAGUACGCAGAAGGUAGUGGUAAAAUACGUUAAUCUUCUGCGGACUAACAAUUAGCGAAGGCAUCUUACAAGAACGGAUCUGACAGUGAGGGAUGAAGGCCAGGGGCGCAAAACGGAUUAGAUACCCGUGUAGUCCUGGCAGUAAACACUGCUCACUAAACAUCGGGCCCUCUUCGGGAGGAUUCGGUGCUGAAGCGAAGGCGUAGAGUGAGCUACCUGGGAAGUAUAGUCGCAAGGUCGAAACUUAAAGGAAUUGGCGGGGAGACACUACAACGAGUGACGCGUGCGGUUUAAUUAGAUUUUACACCGUGAACCUCACUAGGAGCGACAGCAGGAUGAAGGUCAGUCUAAAGGGCUUACCUGACACGCUGAGCGGAGCUGCAUGGCCGACGUCAGCCUGUGCUGUGAAGUGACCUGUUAAAUCAGGUAACAGGCGAGACCCGUGUCUAUAAUUACUACAGAAAUGGGAACAUUAUGGAGACUGCCUUGGUAACAAGGAGGAAGGUGCGGGCUACGUUAGGUGAGUACAGCCCUAAUCCCCUAGGCUACACGCGCGCGGCAAUGGUAGAUUCAAUGAGAUGCGACACCGAAAGGUGAAGCUAAUCCCCUAAUAUCUAUCUCAGUCCAGAUUGAGGCUUGCAACCCAGCCUCAUGACGUUGGAAUUCGUAGUAAUCGUUUAUUAGCAGUGAACGGUGAAUAUGUCCCUGUCUCUUGCACACACCGCCCGUCAAACCAACCGAGUUCUGUAGGGUUGAAGUUCGUAUGAAAAGAAACUUUGCAAGACAAGGUAGGUUAAGUCGGCACAAGG
rnacentral:rRNA from 1 species